rnacentral:rRNA from 1 species
AUUGAACGCUGGCGGCAGGCCUAACACAUGCAAGUCGAACGAGUGGCGGACGGGUGAGUAAUGUCUGGGAAACUGCCCGAUGGAGGGGGAUAACUACUGGAAACGGUAGCUAAUACCGCAUACCAUCGGAUGUGCCCAGAUGGGAUUAGCUAGUAGGUGGGGUAACGGCUCACCUAGGCGACGAUCCCUAGCUGGUCUGAGAGGAUGACCAGCCACACUGGAACUGAGACACGGCCCAGACUCCUACGGGAGGCAGCAGUGGGGAAUAUGGCACAAGGGGAGCAAGCCUGAUGCAUGCAGGCCGCGGGCAUGAAGAAGGCCUUCGGGUUGUAAAGUACUUUCAGCGAGGAGGCGUUACUCGCAGAAGAAGCACCGGCUAACUCCGUGCCAGCAGCCGCGGUAAUUC